UUGAUAGGCUGCAGGUGUAAAGACGGUAACGUCAAAGCCGAGCAGUACUAAUUACCUAUAUGCUUU
rnacentral:rRNA from 1 species